GGCGGCAUGCUUUACACAUGCAAGUCGAACGGCAGCACGGGUGCUUGCACCUGGUGGCGAGUGGCGGACGGGUGAGUAAUACAUCGGAACGUGUCCAGAAGAGGGGAUAACGCAUCGAAAGAUGUGCUAAUACCGCAUAUACUCUAAGGAGGAAAGCAGGGGAUCGAAAGACCUUGCGUUUUUGGAGCGGCCGAUGUCUGAUUAGCUAGUUGGUGGGGUAAGGGCCUACCAAGGCGACGAUCAGUAGUUGGUCUGAGAGGACGACCAGCCACACUGGGACUGAGACACGGCCCAGACUCCUACGGGAGGCAGCAGUGGGGAAUUUUGGACAAUGGGCGCAAGCCUGAUCCAGCAAUGCCGCGUGAGUGAAGAAGGCCUUCGGGUUGUAAAGCUCUUUCAGUCGAGAAGAAAAGGCUGCAGUGAAUAACUGUAGUUUAUGACGGUAUCGACAGAAGAAGCACCGGCUAACUACGUG
rnacentral:rRNA from 1 species